rnacentral:rRNA from 1 species
CGCGGGAGCAAUCCUGGCGGCGAGUGGCGAACGGGUGAGUAAUACAUCGGAACGUGCCCAAUCGUGGGGGAUAACGCAGCGAAAGCUGUGCUAAUACCGCAUACGAUCUACGGAUGAAAGCAGGGGAUCGCAAGACCUUGCGCGAAUGGAGCGGCCGAUGGCAGAUUAGGUAGUUGGUGAGGUAAAGGCUCACCAAGCCUUCGAUCUGUAGCUGGUCUGAGAGGACGACCAGCCACACUGGGACUGAGACACGGCCCAGACUCCUACGGGAGGCAGCAGUGGGGAAUUUUGGACAAUGGGCGCAAGCCUGAUCCAGCCAUGCCGCGUGCAGGAUGAAGGCCUUCGGGUUGUAAACUGCUUUUGUACGGAACGAAACGGCCUUUUCUAAUAAAGAGGGCUAAUGACGGUACCGUAAGAAUAAGCACCGGCUAACUACGUGCCAGCAGCCGCGGUAAUACGUAGGGUGCAAGCGUUAAUCGGAAUUACUGGGCGUAAAGCGUGCGCAGGCGGUGAUGUAAGACAGUUGUGAAAUCCCCGGGCUCAACCUGGGAACUGCAUCUGUGACUGCAUCGCUGGAGUACGGC